rnacentral:rRNA from 1 species
CCUACGGGUGGCAGCAGUAGGGAAUCUUCCACAAUGGGCGAAAGCCUGAUGCAGCAACGCCGCGUGGGUGAAGAAGGUCUUCGGAUCGUAAAACCCUGUUGUUAGAGAAGAAAGUGCGUGAGAGUAACUGUUCACGUUUCGACGGUAUCUAACCAGAAAGCCACGGCUAACUACGUGCCAACAGCCGCCGUAAUACUUCGGGGGCAAGCGUUAUCCGGAUUUAUUGGGCGUAAAGGGAACGCAGGCGGGCUUUUAAGUCUGAUGUGAAAGCCUUCGGCUUAACCGGUGUAGUGCUUUGGAAACUGGGAGACUUGAGUGCUGAAGAGGAAAGUGGAACUCCAUGUGUAGCGGUGAAAUGCGUAGAUAUAUGGAAGAACACCAGUGGCGAAGGCGGCUUUCUGGUCUGUAACUGACGCUGAGGUUCGAAAGCGUGGGUAGCAAACAGGAUUAGAUACCCCAGUAGUC